rfam:Camelus ferus unplaced genomic scaffold scaffold16133, whole genome shotgun sequence.
GAGGGUAUGGCUCAGUGGUAGAGCAUGUGCCUAGCAUGCAUGAGGUCCUGGGUUCAAUCCCCAGGGCCUCU